GUCCUAGCCGUAAACGAUGUACACUAGGUGUCGGGCCCUCUGGGCUCGGUGCCGCCGUUAACACAUUAAGUGUACCACCUGGGGAGUACGGUCGCAAGACUGAAACUCAAAGGAAUUGACGGGGACCCGCACAAGCGGUGGAGCAUGUGGUUUAAUACGACGCUACGCGUGGAACCUUACCAGGACUUGACAUGUACUUGAAAUCCUAUGGAAACAUAGGACCUGUCCUAAAGACACAUGUACACAGGUGUUGCAUGGCUGUCGU
rnacentral:rRNA from 1 species